GCAGUCGUGGCCGAGUGGUUAAGGCGAUGGACUUGAAAUCCAUUCCUAGGUUCGAAUCCUACCGACUGCG